rnacentral:rRNA from 1 species
GGAAUCUUGCGCAAUGGGCGAAAGCCUGACGCAGCAACGCCGCGUGCGGGAUGAAGGCCUUCGGGCUGUAAACCGCUUUCAGCAGGAACGAAAAUGACGGUACCUGCAGAAGAAGGAGCGGCCAACUACGUGCCAGCAGCCGCGGUGACACGUAGGCUCCAAGCGUUGUCCGGAUUUAUUGGGCGUAAAGAGCUCGUAGGCGGUUUAGUAAGUCGGGUGUUAAAACUCUGGGCUCAACCCGGAGAGGCCAUCCGAUACUGCUGUGACUUGAGUUCAGGAGGGGAGCGGGGAAUUCCUAGUGUAGCGGUGAAAUGCGCAGAUAUUAGGAGGAACACCGGUGGCGAAGGCGCCGCUCUGGACUGAAACUGACGCUGAGGAGCGAAAGCAUGGGUAGCAAACAGGAUUAGAUACCCUGGUAGUCCAUGCCGUAAACGGUGGGCACUAGGUGUGGGUUCCAACUAACGGGAUCCGCGCCGUCGCUAACGCAUUAAGUGCCCCGCCUGGGGAGUACGGUCGCAAGACUAAAACUCAAAGGAAUUGACGG